rnacentral:rRNA from 1 species
GAUGAACGCUGACAGAAUGCUUAACACAUGCAAGUCUUUGGCGAAGCUGUGCUUGCACAGCCUAGCCAAGGCGGACGGGUGAGUAACGCGUAAGGAACUUGCCCUGCAGUCAGGGAUAACAGACGGAAACGACUGAUAAGACCUGGUAAAGUCAGGCGGACUCAUGUCCAGCCUGAUGAAAAGAGAUGCUGCAGGAGAGCCUUGCGUCCUAUUAGCUUGUUGGUGGGGUAACGGCCCACCAAGGCGAUGAUAGGUAGCCGGCCUGAGAGGGUGGACGGCCACAAGGGGACUGAGAUACGGCCCUUACUACUACGGGAGGCAGCAGUGGGGAAUAUUGGACAAUGGGGGCAACCCUGAUCCAGCAAUUCUGUGUGCAAGAUGAAGGUUUUCGGAUUGUAAAGUGCUUUCAGCAGGGAAGAAAAAAAUGACGGUACCUGCAGAAGAAGCGACGGCUAAAUACGUG